AUCAGCUUUCGAUUAAAUUAAAAAUUAUCAAAAUCGGUACACCCAGUAGAAAGUUAUGCGGUAUAAUACAACGUAGGUCGACGAAAAAAGCGUCAAGUAAAAACACAUUAUUAGAUAUAACUCGAAGAGUAAUUGUUAUAUCUCAAAUAAAUUUAAAUGGGACCAAUGACACACACCACCUUUCGAUUAAAACAAAAUUUGUCGAAAUCGGUCUACCCGGGCAAAAGUUCUGAUGUAACAUACAUAAAA
rnacentral:misc_RNA from 1 species